CCCUUAGAUGUCCUGGGCUGCACGCGCGCUACACUGACACAUGCAACGAGUUUUUCCUUACCUGAAAGGGUUGGGUAAUCUCCUUGAAAGUGUGUCGUGAUGGGGAUAGAUUAUUGCAAUUAUUAAUCUUCAACGAGGAAUUCCUAGUAAGUGCAAGUCAUCAGCUUGCGCUGAUUACGUCCCUGCCCUUUGUACACACCGCCCGUCGCUACUACCGAUUGAAUGGUUUAGUGAGAUCUCUGGAUUGACGCUGGCUAGGGGGCGACCCUUGGCCAGGCUGUCGAGAAACUGCUCAAACUUGAUCAUUUAGAGGAAGUAAAAGUCGUAACA
rnacentral:rRNA from 1 species